rnacentral:lncRNA from 1 species
UCUGUGUGUUCAGCUGUGCCUCUGGUUCUUGCUGCUGUCACAGCUGCUGGUGCCACAUCUCUGGAGCUUUCUCUGGGUGGUGUCCCAGCUGCACCACCCUGUGAGAAUGGCAGGUACAGGAGGCUGAGAUCAGACCUGAAAAAUGAAACCUGAGCCCGUGCCCUGGUCAGUGCGUGACACUGCCUGGAGCUGUGUGACAGCACUUUGGUGUCUGCAGUCCUCUGUCCUGUCUGGGGCCUGCCAGAGCUUCACAGCACCCCUCCCUGUGAGGAUUUUGGCUGUGGUGCACCUGUGAGCACCCAGUGCUGUUCUCUGUAUCUUACAAGUGUCUGAGCAUCAUUUGCACAAGAGUAUUUGCCUAUUUAAACACUGAAGUGUUUCAAGAACUGAAGAUUGUGUUUCUCAGAACCUUUUCUCCUUCCUUGGGUGAAGGUUCACCUGUGCUAUGCUGCUGCUGCCUGGAGGGAGAGAAGCUCCCUGGCCAUGGCCUGAGUGUGCCAAGGAUUGUGUGGGGCACUGGGUUUGCUGUCAGAGGGUGAGCAGGAGCCUGAGCCCUGUCCAGAGCCUGGGCUGUGUUUUGUCCCAGCACAGGAAUGUCACAAGUGAAUGAAUGCCCUGUGUCUGCAGUGUGCAUUUCUGUGACCCUGCUCAGAGCCUGGGGCAGGGCACAGCAGGGACACACAGGGGCAAGGUGCAGUGGGGAAAGAGGAAAAGAAUUCUACACAGCCAGACAAGAAGAGUCUGAAACCAGCCCAAAAGCAGGAAACAGCACAAUAGACACGGCACAGCAGGAAACAAACCCCAGGAUGGGCAGCAGCCCCCCUGCACUCAGUGACAGUGAGGAGAGGAGCAGCAGGGGCUGGGGUGGAACAGGCUGAGAGCUCAGGCCUCCUGCCACUCUCUGCAGGGAGGGCUGCUGGGAUGGGGGAGGUGGGUGAGGGAUGGCAAAGGGCACGGUGGCCCCUGAGGGGAUGGGAAAGGCACAUCUGAGCCCUUGGGCUGGGAUGGGAGAGGGAUGAGAUCUGAGACACAGGUUCAGGCUGAUGAGAGCAGUGUCUGCCAAGCUGUGAGCAAGUGUCACAGACAUAUUUUAUGAAAAAUCCCUUUUGUCAAGAUUUUUCUCCUGAGAAGCUGAGAGGCAUCAGAAAUGAAAUGUAAACAAUGAUUAUCUGUGGAAUGCAACAGGUGCAUCUUUGACUGGUCUCAUGUGGUUGUUUCUAAUUAAUGGCCAAUCACAGGCCAGCUGGCUCAGACUCUCUGGUCAGUCACAAGAUUUUUUUAUCAUUCCAUUCCUUUCCUUCCUUUGCUAGCCUUCUGAUGAAAUUCUUUCUUCUAUUCUUUUAGUGUAGUCUUAGUAUAUAAUUUUCUUUUAAUAUAAUACAUAUAAUAAAAUAAUAAAUCAGCCUUCUCA